GAUGAAGAACGCAGCGAAAUGCGAUAAGUAGUGUGAAUUGCAGAAUUCAGUGAAUCAUCGAAUCUUUGAACGCACAUUGCGCCCUUUGGUAUUCCAAAGGGCAUGCCUGUUCGAGCGUCAUUUGUACCCUCAAGCUUUGCUUGGUGUUGGGCGUCUUGUCUCUAGCUUUGCUGGAGACUCGCCUUAAAGUAAUUGGCAGCCGGCCUACUGGUUUCGGAGCGCAGCACAAGUCGCACUCUCUAUCAGCAAAGGUCUAGCAUCCAUUAAGCCUUUUUUUCAACUUUUGACCUCGGAUCAGGUAGGGAUACCCGCUGAACUUAAGCAUAUCAAUAAGCGGAGA
rnacentral:misc_RNA from 1 species